CAGUCGCCGCGGUAAUACAGAGGGUGCGAGCGUUAAUCGGAUUUACUGGGCGUAAAGCGUGCGUAGGCGGCUUUUUAAGUCGGAUGUGAAAUCCCUGAGCUUAACUUAGGAAUUGCAUUCGAUACUGGGAAGCUAGAGUAUGGGAGAGGAUGGUAGAAUUCCAGGUGUAGCGGUGAAAUGCGUAGAGAUCUGGAGGAAUACCGAUGGCGAAGGCAGCCAUCUGGCCUAAUACUGACGCUGAGGUACGAAAGCAUGGGGAGCAAACAGGAUUAGAUACCCCAGUAGUCCCUGUCUCUUAUCC
rnacentral:rRNA from 1 species